CAGAUUCCAAGGUGAGGGAAGAUGGCAGUCUCCUAGAGGGCUGGCUGCACCGCGUUUGAUUUCGUUGAUCCUCCUUUCUGCAAAUUUGGUUUCCUUGCAAUACUCCGCUUUUCCUCCGCGACAACCCUCAGGUCCUCGUCUUCUGCUGGAGUCUCCGUUCUCCAAAAAAGAAAAAAAGCCGAAUCAGAAGGUAACUUAAAAUGGCUAAACGUAGCCGUGGUCAGAGAGAAAGAGACGCUGUCCGUGACCGGCGGGGCUUUUUGCCUGAAGGCCCUUUUCUUCGUGAGCCUCCGAUGCAGCGCCCGCGUUUGCAUCCUCAUCCAGCUAUUCUGGAAGAAGAACUUGAAAUGCAGCACGCAGAAAUCCAGAGGUUGAUAGCUGAUAAUCGGAGGCUGGUUGAAGAUCGAAUGGCAUUGCAGCGGGAUCUUGCAGCUGCAAAGGAGGAGCUUCAUCGGAUGAAUCUUGCCAUUGUUGACCUUCGUUCAGAACAAGAGCUGCGUUCGAGGGAGUUUAUUGAGAAGGGACUGGAGUUGGAAUCUGAGCUUCGUGCAACUGAGCCCUUGAAGAAGGAGACUGCACAAUUACGUGCUGAAGCUCAGAAACUUAAUAAUCUUAAACAAGAGCUUUCAGGGAAAGUUCAGACAAUCACCCAAGAUCUUGCAAGGUUUCAAGCUGAUAAUCAACAAAUUCCUAUACUGAGGGCAGAGAUUGAAGGCCUGCACCAAGAGCUUAUGCGUACUAGAGCCAUGGUUGACUAUGAAAAGAAAGCAAACACGGAGUUGAUGGAACAGAGACAAGCAAUGGAGAAAAAUAUGGUUUCCAUGUCCCGGGAUGUGGAGAAAUUACGGGCUGAGCUUACUGUUGCUGAGGGUAGACACUGGAAUGCAGGUGGGUCUUAUGGCACAAAAUAUGGUGGCUUGGAUUUACCGGUUCCAUAUGGAGACGGAUAUGGUGCUCAUAGGGGUGGUAUUGAGAAAAAUCCUCUGUAUGGACGAAUCCCUAAUUCAGGGGGAGGACGUGAGAAGCCUCACACAUCUCGCCGUUGAGUAAUUGCUGUUGGAAUGAAUAAAGGCACUUCCUUUGUUAACGGGAAUUUCUGAUUCUGAGAUGAUACUUGAAGUUGCUUUUUGUCUGCUUGCAGCAUCAAUGGUCAAUUAUCUGGAUUAAUUGUUAGUCCUGAACGACAUAUAUAAGAUGGGAGACUGGUGAACCUGUCCACGACUGGAUGGUUUGAACAAACCUUCUAUGGGGUUUCAAUUGGCUUUGAUUGUUUCAGGGAGAAGCCUACUCCAGGCUGAACCCUUUAGUCAUCGAUGCAGGAUGAAGCAUGAAUUAUAUUUUAGUAUUCCAAAGAAUACUUUAAUAUUGAUUCAUGCGAUAAGCCCUUGAACAGAAACAGGUGACGUAGCUUAACAUACAUGGCUCAACGCACAGUUAAUGCGGCCAUAAAAUGUCGGGAAGUUGCGCCAACAUGUCACAAUAGAGCACAUAAACAGUAUGAUAUUGUAUCUACUUCGAAUAGUUUAGUGUCUAUUGCGACUUGUUUAGUGCAGUUGGAUCAGUUGCUUCCCUUUAGGCAUGUUACCCGUUUCCGUUUAUGCUUCUGUUAACGGGCUUAAUGCGAGAAUAUGAUUAACAACAAAAUGUUGCUUAAAAGAUUGAAAUUAGAUGUUUAAUCUAUGGGUGGUCAGAUUGAGGUAAAGUAUGUCUUUUACACUUCGUUUGGAAUGAGAAGAAAAUCCGAAGGAUAAAAAAAUUAGGGGAGAAGACUAGAGAUAAAAAAAAUAAUCUCCCACCUUUUUGCUCCUAAUUUUCCCUAAAGAGGGGCGAAACUAAAAAAACUUUGUCUUUUACUUUUCUCUCCCCGUUUUCUUUAUAUUCCAAAUGGAGGGUUGAAGACCAAUUUGUCAAUUUCACGAGGAAAUAGUUUGCCUCCAAAACUGAAGCAUAAAAAAUAUCCUCCUGUUGAGUGUUGAUACAUUUAGAGUUAUUGACAUGAAGUUAUGGGGGACUGGCAUUACUUUAUUGUUGUUAAAUACAGUCAAUUAUUUGUUUUUGAGGUAAUUAUAGAAACCCCAGUUCAAUGGAAGACCUGGAUAUAGAAACCCUAUAUCUUGUAUUCUGAACUUUCAUGCCCGUGGCCAAUUUUAUGUUAAAAUUAGAAUUUAGGAUAGAACAGGAACUUCGAUAUUCCACUGUCCAAUGACACUGUGAAUAAUAUGAUAUGAAGUGCUCGAGUUUCAAGAAGUCUGAGUUCUUUAAUACCGGACCAUAUUGGGAAUGUGCCCUUGUGGAAGUGGAAUCAAUCAAAAUGUAAAUUGGAAGGUUGAUAGUGGAAGUAUGAAUUACUCAGAUUUGGAGCUGGUUUACUCGAAAAUGGAAUUGCGGUUUGCGCCUUUCCAUUACCUUUUCAUUUUUCCGUGCCUGCCGUGGAACUAGUAUAGAAAUAAAAGCAUGACAAGCAAAACGAAUUAUUUUUGCA